UGAAUAACGUUUGGUAGGCUGAAACCAAAACAAAAGCUUGCUCUGUAGUAGCCUUCGACUUCUUCAAUGAUGAAGACUUCUAGUAUCUAGGGUUCUUAGUUUAGAUCGAACUCCAAUUAGGCCAAUUGACAAGGUUGUAGAGUGAUGUGUGAGACGCAUCUUCGUGAGGAAUCUCUGGGUGGAGCUCCGAUCGUGUUGUUCCGUCUGAAAUUCAUCUCCUUGAACCGUUAAGGAAAUAAUUGAUUCAACGCCAUUGAUGACCCAAGGAUGUUUAGAGUCCCUAUUAAAUCUCUCCACCACUACACCUUCCCACCUAGGAUUGCAAAACCCCAACUUUUAACAAGAAACUUAUCAGGUUAGUGUUUUCAAUGGGCUAAGUGAUCAUCCAACCUACCGGCUCUCUACGCUUAUUAAUUUUUUACGUCUCCAUGGCAAACCGAUCAUCGCAACCUACCGGAAAGUUUCCUUCAGCACUAUUUUCCUAUGAAAAUCAACCAACCUAGGAGAGACGAAACACAAGAGCUCUUUGUUGUUGCUUUGGGACCUCUGGCAAACAUCUCACUGACUGUUCAGCUUGAACCUGAGUUUUCAAAAAAAUGUCAGACAGAUUGUUCUUCUUGGUGGACCAUUCACAGUAAACGGAAAGGUAAAUCCAGCAUCGAAAGCUAAUAGCUCUUACAAGCAAACUUCUUUUCCCCGGGUGAACAUGUGGUCCAGCAAUUGGAUUUGAUGACUGAUAUGUUGGAAACUCAAAUCUGCGGAAGCCAUUGGAAGGUCCACCUCCCUUUCCAGUUUCCCCAGCUGCAUUGUUACUAUUUUUGGGUGAAAUGCGUGCACUGAAUGUGACAUGCUAGGAACAGGAAAGCUCGAAGAAGAAAAAGCCUAUUCAUUUCUCACAUAAGUUUCCACAUGCUGAUCCCCUUGCUCUUCAUCUUCUAGAGAAUAUGUUUUCUUUAAAACCCAAGGACCUACCUACAGCUGAAAAGGAGCGUCACAUAUUUCUUUUUUACAUUCGUUGUGAUCCAAAUGGGUUGUAUUCAAAAGCUAUUUUUACGUGAAAAUCCAGAAAGACUGCAAACUCUAUACAUGAUGCUUACUAAGAUUACUAACGAUAUGGAGUGUAAGUUAACCUAGAGUACAUUGUCUUUUUUCUGCUUAGGCCUAUGGAGCUUAAGCUUCAAGCUUUGUUUUCAUAACCGAUUGACGUUGUACAUAUCAUGUAUGAUGUAGGUCUUUCAUGUAAUCAACCGGUUUUAUGGAUUACUCCAGGCGAUCACAAAGUUGGGUAGAGAAGCGAUUAGACAAAUAUUUGGCGAGGAAAUUGGAGGCUUACACAGGCCAUUAGAGCUUCUUCACAUAUCAUAGUAUCUCAGCUAGAUUUGAUUACUAGCCAGAAAUUUGUGAGGAUUACAAAAAAAAACGGAAAGUAUGAAUAUGGAGAUAGAUGUAAAUAUGAAUAUUUUUAAUAUUAUAUAUAAAUAAUUAAUUUGAAGUAAAAUAAAGGUAUUGAGAUGUUCCAUCAAUUUUCAUAUUAAUAUUGUCACCACAAUCCAGCAACUUUAAGUUUAAUUUUAAAUUACAAACGCAUUAAUUUGAUAAAUAAUUUUAUUUAUCUCAAAAAUAAUUUAUUAAAUAUAUAGUUAAUAAGAACAUAAAUGUAUAGUUUCUCAUCAAAGUUGAGAUUUUCUUUUUUGAAAAUUAUGCAAAGGUCUUACGGCUGGCGCAAACCUCAAAAAUAAUCAUUUACAAUAGUUGUUAGAAACAAAUCCAACCGAGAAUGACAUAACAACUCAAUCAUGGUGGUAUCAUAGAAGCAAAAAAUCAAAACAAAAAUUACUUACAGAUAAACUAACCAACAACUUAAAUUAAGAAAAUAAUAUAUCUCAUACACACCUCUAGCAAAUAUGAACCUAAAACACAAAACACAAAAUUAUAUAAAAAAUAAUAACCUAAAUUACAAAUAAAGUAUAUCCCAUCCGUAGGGCGGGUCGACCCUAGUUUAGUAUACAAUAAUCACAUAAUACAGGUAUAUUCAAAAACAAAGCUUUAACUAAUAAUCAAAAAUCGACGGGAUGAGGUAGCCCGCUUGGUAAGGACCUUGGGGGCCAAUUGUCAUGUUCACGGGUUUGACGCCAGAUGGAGGCGAACUGCUCAUCCAUGUCACCCACACGGAUAUGGGUCUAUGCUUUAGGGCUCAUUUGAAUACCCGGAGAGAGGGUCUAUCCGUGAGCUGCUCCUCCAUUUGGGAAUUAGUCUGGGCCUCUCCGGGGAUCUGGGACACCCCAGGUUAAACAAAAAAAAAAAAAAAACUAAUAAUCAAAUAG